GAUGAACGCUAGCGGCAGGCUUAAUACAUGCAAGUCGAGGGGCAGCAUGAUUGAAGCAAUACAAUUGAUGGCGACCGGCAAACGGGUGCGGAACACGUACACAACCUCCCAAUAAGUGGGGAAUAGCCCAGAGAAAUUUGGAUUAAUACCCCGUAACAUAACGAUGUGGCAUCACAUUGUUAUUAAAGCUUUUUCGCUUAUUUAUGGGUGUGCGGCUGAUUAGAUAGUUGGCGGGGUAACGGCCCACCAAGUCUACGAUCAGUAGCUGAUGUGAGAGCAUGAUCAGCCACACGGGCACUGAGACACGGGCCCGACUCCUACGGGAGGCAGCAGUAAGGAAUAUUGGACAAUGGACGCAAGUCUGAUCCAGCCAUGCCGCGUGAAGGAUUAAGGUCCUCUGGAUUGUAAACUUCUUUUAUAAGGGACGAAAAAAGGCUUUUCUAAGUCGUCUGACGGUACCUUAUGAAUAAGCACCGGCUAACUCCGUGCCAGCAGCCGCAGUAAAAC
rnacentral:rRNA from 1 species